rnacentral:rRNA from 1 species
GAUGAACGCUAGCUACAGGCUUAACACAUGCAAGUCGAGGGGAAACGGCAUCGAAAGCUUGCUUUUGAUGGGCGUCGACCGGCGCACGGGUGAGUAACGCGUAUCCAACCUGCCCAUCACUUGGGAAUAACCUUGCGAAAGUAAGACUAAUGCCCAAUGACAUCCCACGAAGGCAUCCGAAUGGGAUUAAAGAUUUAUCGGUGAUGGAUGGGGAUGCGUCUGAUUAGCUUGUUGGCGGGGUGACGGCCCACCAAGGCAACGAUCAGUAGGGGUUCUGAGAGGAAGGUCCCCCACAUUGGAACUGAGACACGGUCCAAACUCCUACGGGAGGCGGCAGUGAGGAAUAUUGGUCAAUGGGCGAGAGCCUGAACCAGCCAAGUAGCGUGCAGGAUGACGGCCCUAUGGGCUGUAAACUGCUUUUAUAAGGGAAUAAAGUGGGUCACGUGUGACUUUUUGCAUGUACCUUAUGAAUAAGGACCGGCUAAUUCCGU